GUGGGGAAUAUUGGGCAAUGGGCGAAAGCCUGACCCAGCAACGCCGCGUGAGGGAAGAAGGUUUUCGGAUUGUAAACCUCUGUCCUCAGGGACGAAGGAAGUGACGGUACCUGAGGAGGAAGCCCCGGCUAACUACGUGCCAGCAGCCGCGGUAAUACGUAGGGGGCAAGCGUUGUCCGGAAUGACUGGGCGUAAAGGGCGUGUAGGCGGCCUGAUAAGUAUGAAGUGAAAGUCCUGCUUUCAAGGUGGGAAUUGCUUUGUAGACUGUCGGGCUUGAGUGCGGAAGAGGUAAGUGGAAUUCCCAGUGUAGCGGUGAAAUGCGUAGAGAUUGGGAGGAACACCAGUGGCGAAGGCGACUUACUGGGCCGUAACUGACGCUGAGGCGCGAAAGCGUGGGGAGCGAACAGGAUUAGAAACCCGAGUAGUCC
rnacentral:rRNA from 1 species